rnacentral:lncRNA from 1 species
CUACGCAUUGCUCAGAUACGAUGCCCCACUACUAAAUGUCAUUGAAUCUUUACACAGACUGUUCCCUUUCAAAAAGUAUUCUAUCCCACUGCUGCCUGUUAAAAUCCUACUCAUUCUUCCAAGCACAUAUCAAGUUUGGAUAUUGCCUUGCCUAUAUCUCUCUCUCCUCUGAAAUCUCCUUCCACUUUGCCUUUAUCUGUCCUACAGAACUUAUAGAUCACAUAGACUUAUAAUGAACCUCAGACAUAACUAUUGUAUGACUAUCACAGUCUGCUAAACAUACAGAAGGGGACAUUGUAUUUUACCUCUCAUCUCACAAACUAGGGAUAAUUCUAUCGGAGAAGGAUUCCUUCAAGGUUGCCCCUGAGUCUUUCCCCACCACUUCAAGCCUGGAUCUGUGCAUCCUUAGCUGUCUGCACGUACCUCUGUCAUAGUGUUUAUCAGAUGGCAUUGCACCUCCGUGCUGGUUUUCCAGUGCUUCCAGUAGUCCGGGGGGUCCUGGAUGUCUUUUUUUUCUAUACAUGCAAAGCCUCGCAUGGUGCCUGACCAAUAGAAGACACUCAGUAAAUUACUGUGGAAUGAAUGAAUGCAUCAUCUGAUUGUUGAAUUACUCAAAAUCAACUGCUCACGAAUACCCUUCAUUUAAAUAGAAUUAAAAUGUAAAAUAUCUCGUACUAGAUCUGAGUGUGCUUCUUAGAACUGCAAAAAAAAAAAAAAAAAAAUUCCUUUGUUAGUGUCUGUUUUGUUUCUCUUCAAAAUGCAAAGACAUUUUAGCUGAUUAUCCUACAAACCUUUCUUCUCUUAGUAAUUUUCGGUCUUGCAUCUAUCAAUGGAUGGGAAGAGGAAGUGUGUGUGGGUGAGUGGGUGGGGUGAGGCUCACCUUUAGAAGCAUGAGAAGCAGUGUAACCAGUCAAAAAUUGCUGCUACACAUGCCUGGAAAAGUAAAAUUAAAAAAAUAUUCUUUUUGGUUGGUUGGAUUUUUAUUUCUUUUUUUAAAAUUUGUCUAUAGAAACACAAGAAGUGUUGGUCUAUAUGUUCUCAAUUUUCUACAUAAAGAGAUUCUAUUUUUGUGUUUUGUUAGUUUUCCCACCAGGAUGAACUGAGCAAGAGACAGCUGCUGGGCUACCAGCAGAAACAGCUGGUUGUAUUAUUACUACAGUUACUGCAUAUACCUGUGCCCGCUCAGCUACAACCCAACAAGUCUGAUCCUGAGAUACAAAUGCUACAUCAGAAACGGAGUCACUGGAAAAGCAAAAGAAGUGAAAGAAAAGAUGAAGCCUCUCAGCUUGGAAAUGCAUGU